rnacentral:rRNA from 1 species
UACUGGACAAUGGGCGCAAGCCUGAUCCAGCCAUGCCGCGUGUGUGAAGAAGGUCUUCGGAUUGUAAAGCACAUUAAUUUGGGAGGAUGGGCAGCUCACGAAUACUUAACUGCUUUGACGUUACCACAAGAAUAAGCACCGUCUAACUUAGUGCCAGCAGCCGUGGUAAUACGAAGGGUGCAAGCGUUAAUCGGAAUUACUGGGCGUAAAGCGCGCGUGGGUGGUUCGUUAAGUUGGAAGUGAAAGCCCCGGGCUCAACCUGGGAAUUGCUUUCAAAACUGGCGGGCUAGAGUACGGUAGAGGGUGGUGGAAUUUCCUGUGUAGCGGUGAAAUGCGUAGAUAUAGGAAGGAACAUCAGUGGCGAAGGCGACCACCUGGAUUGAUACUGACACUGAGGUGCGAAAGCGUGGGGAGCAAACAGG